rnacentral:lncRNA from 1 species
GAGCGACGAUGACGUAAAAGAAAGUGGAGGGUGGAUGGUGGUGUAGGAGGGAAAAGUUGUGGAGAACAGAGGAAGAAAGAUUGAGAGAGUUAUUCCUAAUGACUGCCGUUUCUUUUGUAGUCUGGCCCUGUGUCACGGUGGGGGAUCUGACGGACAAGGCCCAUUUUUGUGCAAAUCUCCAUUCAGAGGGUCCCUCAGAAUCUCAUUCUCAACCAACAUCUCUGCCAUCCUGCUCUGAGUUGUCCUUCAAGAGGAGGAGGGCCUGCAGCGCGAGUGAAACUGAAAGCAUGGAGCGUGUGAAGUUGUGAAUGAACAUGAGUGAGCACAAUGAAUCUUUUCUUUGUUAAAGUCAAAGGACAAAAGACGCAUUCUUUUUUCGUCAAAGCUCCCGAUGAGGUGAUAUUUUGUGUCUUUGUGGGAUCUGUUCUUGCAGGUGUGCGUUUGGCAGAGGGAGUGGAUCCCAUGCCAUGUAGCAAACAAGGCAUUCCUCACACUGACAGAACAUCUCUGACACCAGCCCAUGAAUGUGAGUGAAACCCGAGAAUCGCUCCGAUGCCAAGCUUACGAAAAGUGAGAACAUACUACGAGGCUUUGUGGUGCGUUGAAUAGACUUCUUCAAGCUGCAUUGUGGCCACUGGGAGGCUUAUUUAUUCAGAAAUGUAGCAAAAGUAUAAUUCAAUUGGAGAUAUGUGUUUGUGACAAUGCGGGCGAAUAUAAGUCCAAUAUUUACUCUCCUUUAAGUUUCUGGAUUGUUUGCUCUACACGAACUCCUGCUAAAUGCUCAACAGCUAGUCUCGAACUUUGUCUGUUUGUCAUUUGUGCCGGCCAAGCAUCUUACAAUGGGCUUUUAAGAGCUUUUGUGCUGAAAACCACUGCAUGCUGCAACUAAAUAGAAAAGAAAAACGCUGAUGAGAGCAGUGAGAGUGAACCAAAAAAGUCAAGUAGUGGGCGGGAAAACCGAAACAAUGGGCUGAAAGACGUUAAAGGGCUCUAUAAAACUAACUGGGCGAUAAUUCUCUGUGGGUUCAACAGUAUGAGGGAGACCUUUCACGUUACAUAUAACUUGAUCUAUUGUUAACAUGAACAUUUUUGAGAGCAGUGGCUUUAAAAUCGUGUCCUCUACAUUGUUUUCCCCCUGUCUUGGCUCUCUCUUCUCUCUGUCUCUUCCUCUGACCUCG